rnacentral:rRNA from 1 species
AGUGAACGCUGGCGGUGGGCCUAACACAUGCAAGUCGAACGGCAGCACAGUAAGAGCUUGCUCUUACGGGUGGCGAGUGGCGGACGGGUGAGGAAUACAUCGGGCUCUACUUUUUCGUGGGGGUUCACGUAGGGGAACUUACGCUAAUACCGCAUACGCCCUACGGGUGAAAGCAGUGGAUCUUCUCACCUUGCGGGAUUGAAUGAGCCGCUGUGGGAUUAGCUAGUUGGGGGGGUAAAGGCCCACCCAGGCGACGAUCCGUAGCUGGUCUGAGAGGAGGGUAGGCCACACUGGAGCUGGGACACGGACAAUGGGCCUACGGGAGGCAGCAGUGGGGAAUAGUGGACAAUGGGCGCAAGCCUGACCCAGUCAGACCGCGUGGGAGAAGAAGGCCCUGGGGUUGUAAAGCCCUUUUGUUGGGAAAGAAAAGCAGCAGGUUAAGACCCCGCUGGACUGACGGUACCCAAAGAAGAAGCACCGGCUAACUACGUG